GGUCGAUGAGGUGCAGCCACUGUGUGAUUAGUGUGAAUCGCAGACUGCUUUGAACAUCGACAUCUUGAACGCAUAUUGCGGCCAUGGGCUUGCCUGUGGCCACGUCUGUCCGAGCGUCG
rnacentral:rRNA from 1 species